rnacentral:rRNA from 1 species
GACGAACGCUGGCGGCGUGCUUAACACAUGCAAGUCGAACGGACAGGCCCGGCUUUUGUGGGGUUCUCGAGUGGCGAACGGGUGAGUAACACGUGAGUAACCUGCACUUGACUUUGGGAUAUCUUCAGGAAACUGGGGCUAAUACCGGAUAGGAGCUCCUGAUCCACGGUGGGGUUGGAAAGUUUCGGCGGUUGGGGAUGGACUCGCGGCUUAGCAGUUUGUUGGUGGUGUAGUGGCUUACGACGGCUUUGCCGGGUAGCCGACCCGAGAGGGGAAACGGCGUCAUUGGGACUGAGGGAGGGCCCAGACUGGUACCGGCGGCAGUGGUCGGGAGUAUUGCACAAUGGGCGCAAGCCAGAGGCAGCAACGCUGGGUGCGGAAAGACGGCUUUCGGGUGGUAAACCGCUUUCGCAUGUGCCGAGCCCUGAGUGACGGUAAUGGGUAAAGAAGCAACGGCUAACUACGUG